UACGUAGGUGGCGAGCGUUGUCCGGAUUUACUGGGUGUAAAGGGCGAGUAGGCGGGCUUGCAAGUCAGAUGUGAAAUACCGAGGCUCAACUUCGGAGCUGCAUUUGAAACUGUAAGUCUUGAGUGAUGGAGAGGCAGGCGGAAUUCCCAGUGUAGCGGUAAAAUGCAUAGAUAUUGGGAAGAACACCAGUGGCGAAGGCGGCCUGCUGGACAUUAACUGACGCUGAGGAGCGAAAGUGUGGGGAGCAAAC
rnacentral:rRNA from 1 species